rnacentral:piRNA from 1 species
UGCUGAUGCUGCUUUGUGGCUUGCGCGAA